UUCUUGUAAGAUUUGUUUGGAAAGUUUAAGGUGUUAAGUAGGAGCUGUGAACAUCUGGGUUUGCUUGCUGCUGGCAUUCUACCAGCGCCCCAGCAACAACACUGCCUCCCAGCUUUGCAAGGUAAUUACUUUCCCAAUUACUGUACACCAAAAUGGAGUAAUUGUCGUGGUCAACAAAUCUGCCUCCCAACUUUCAAGAUGCCGAGAAAAAAUAAAAGAUCCCAGGCACAAAAGAAGCGCUGGAAACCACUUGACCUGGUCGAUCCUGCUGUCCCAAUGCUCACUGGCCACAACCAAGAUGAGGCAGUCAGUAGUUUUCCAUCUGACCAGACAGCACCAGCCAGGUUGUCCUUGGUAACGGAGAAUAGACCCACCUCCUUAUGUCCUCCAGGCAGCAAGACACAACAGAACACCAGCCUCUACGUGGUGCGAAGCCUACUGCAACAAAAACGUGAUCUUCAUGUCUUUGCGACUGAGCAC